rnacentral:rRNA from 1 species
AUUGAACGCUGGCGGCAGGCCUAACACAUGCAAGUCGAGCGGAUGACGGGAGCUUGCUCCUUGAUUCAGCGGCGGACGGGUGAGUAAUGCCUAGGAAUCCGCCUGGUAGUGGGGGACAACGUUUCGAAAGGAACGCUAAUACCGCAUACGUCCUACGGGAGAAAGCCGGGGACCUGCGGGCCUUGCGCUAGCAGAUGAGCCUAGGUCGGAUUAGCUAGUUGGUGGGGUAAUGGCUCACCAAGGCGACGAUCCGUAACUGGGCUGAGAGGAUGAUCAGUCACACUGGAACUGAGACACGGUCCAGACUCCUACGGGAGGCAGCAGUGGGGAAUAUUGGACAAUGGGCGAAAGCCUGAUCCAGCCAUGCCGCGUGUGUGAAGAAGGUCUUCGGAUUGUAAAGCACUUUAAGUUGGGAGGAAGGGCAGUAAGCUAAUACCUUGCUGUUUUGACGUUACCGACAGAAUAAGCACCGGCUAACUCUGUGCCAGCCGCCGCCGUAA